rnacentral:rRNA from 1 species
CCUACGGGGGGCAGCAGUGGGGAAUAUUGCACAAUGGGGGAAACCCUGAUGCAGCGACGCCGCGUGAGUGAAGCAGUAAUUCGUUAUGUAAAGCUCUAUCAGCAGGGAAGAAAAUGACGGUACCUGAGUAAUACGCCCCGGCUAACUACGUGCCAGCAGCCGCGGUAAUACGUAGGGGGCAAGCGUUAUCCGGAUUUACUGGGUGUAAAGGGAGCGUAGACGGCAGUGCAAGUCUGGAGUGAAAGGCGGGGGCUCAACCCCCGGAGUGCCCUGGAAACUGGACGGCUUGAGUGCAGGAGAGGUAAGUGGAAUGCCUAGUGUAGCGGUGAAAUGCGUAGAUAUUAGGAGGAACACCAGUGGCGAAGGCGGCUUACUGGACUGUAACUGACGUUGAGGCUCGAAAGCGUGGGUAGCAAACAGGAUUAGAUACCCGUGUAGUC